rnacentral:rRNA from 1 species
CGGACGGGUGAGUAACGCGUGGAAAACCUGCCGUAUACUGGGGGAUAACACUUAGAAAUAGGUGCUAAUACCGCAUAAGCGCACAGCUUCGCAUGAAGCGGUGUGAAAAACUCUGGUGGUAUACGAUGGUUCCGCGUCUGAUCAGCUAGUUGGUGGGGUAAUGGCCUACCAAGGCAACGAUCAGUAGCCGGCCUGAGAGGGUGAACGGCCACAUUGGGACUGAGACACGGCCCAAACUCCUACGGAAGGCAGCAG